GAUGGGAUCAAAGCUCAGAGUCUCACACUGGAUGGAUUGUUGCUGCAGUUAUCGGCGCUGUUUUAUUUGUAGUUCUUGGUGUUCUGGCUGUUCUUAUAUACAAGGGUUGCAUCAAACUAAAAGGUAAUAAAGGUUCUCCACCAGGUAAACAAGAGGGUUCAACAGGUGACAUCACAGACCCCCUUCAAGCUCCCUGAUCCGUGUGUGUGUGUGUUAAUGUACAUUUUAAAUCUGUGAGGUCUGUGGA